GGUCUUUUGUUUAUUUAUAUAAGAUCUAACCUGCCCAUUGAUUAUAAAAAAUUAAAAGGCUGCGGUAUUUUAACUGUACGAAGGUAGCAUAAUCAUUUGUCUUUUAAUUGGAGACUAGUAUGAAUGGUUUGAUGAAAAAUAAACUUUCUUUUUUUAAUUUAAAAUGAAUUUAAUUUUUUAGUUAAAAAGCUUAAAUUUUUUUAUAGGACGAGAAGACCCUAUAGAAGUUUACUUUUUUUAAAAUAUUUUAUUUUUAGUUAAUAUAUUUAAAUAUUUGAAUGAAAAGUUUUGUUGGGGUGACAUUAAAAUUUUAUUAACUUUUAAUUUUCUAUUCAUAAAUUUAUGUAUUUUUGAUCCAGAAUUUUUGAUUAAAAGAUUAACUUACCUUAGGGAUAACAGCGUAAUUUUUUUGGAGAGUUCAUAUCGAUGAAAAAGUUUGCGA
rnacentral:rRNA from 1 species